rnacentral:siRNA from 1 species
CUUGUUUUAUUUUGAUGUUGU